rnacentral:rRNA from 1 species
UACAGAGGGUGCAAGCGUUGUUCGGAAUUAUUGGGCGUAAAGCGCGUGUAGGCGGCUUUGCAAGUCGGGUGUGAAAGCCCUCGGCUCAACCGAGGAAGUGCGCCCGAAACUGCAGAGCUUGAGUACCGGAGAGGAUGGCGGAAUUCCCCAAGUAGAGGUGAAAUUCGUAGAUAUGGGGAGGAACUCCGGUGGCGAAGGCGGCCAUCUGGACGGAUACUGACGCUGAGACGCGAAAGCGUGGGGAGCAAACAGG